rnacentral:rRNA from 1 species
CCUACGGGAGGCAGCAGUGGGGGAUAUUGCACAAUGGGGGGAACCCUGAUGCAGCGACGCCGCGUGGGUGAAGGAGUGCUUCGGCAUGUAAAGCCCUAUCGGCAGGGAAGAAGCAAGACGGUACCUGACUAAGAAGCCCCGGCUAACUACGUGCCAGCAGCCGCGGCAAUACGUAGGGGGCGAGCGUUAUCCGGAUUCACUGGGUGUAAGGGGAGCGUAGGCGGCCGUGCAAGCCAGGGGUGAAAGCCCGGGGCCCAACCCCGGGACUGCCCGUGGAACGGCAUGGCUGGAGUGCGGGAGGGGCAGGCGGAAUUCCUGGUGUAGCGGUGACAUGCGUAGAUAUCAGGAGGAACACCGGCGGCGAAGGCGGCCUGCUGGACCGCGACUGACGUUGAGGCUCGAAAGCGUGGGGAGCGAACAGGAUUAGAUACCCGUGUAGUC